rnacentral:rRNA from 1 species
AUACGGAAGGUCCGGGCGUUAUCCGGAUUUAUUGGGUUUAAAGGGAGCGCAGGCGGAGAUGCAAGCGUGACGUCACAUUUCGGGGCUCAACCCCGUCUCGCGUCGCGAACUGCGUCCCUUGGUUGCGGGAAGGGGAGGCGGAACUCGUGGUGUUGCGGUGAAAUGCAUAGAUAUCACGAAGAACUCCGAUCGCGAAGGCAGCCUUCCGGCCCGUCAACGACGCUCAUGCUCGAAGGUGCGGGUAUCAAACAGGAUUAGAUACCCUGGUAGUCCGCACAGUAAACGAUGGACACCCGCGGUUUGGCCUGUAUGGCUGAGCCGCCAAGCGAAAGCGUUAAGUGUCCCACCUGGGGAGUACGCCGGCAACGGUGAAACUCAAAUGAAUUGACG